rnacentral:rRNA from 1 species
CCUACGGGUGGCAGCAGUGAGGAAUAUUGGUCAAUGGCCGCAGGGCUGAACCAGCCAAGUCGCGUGAGGGAUGACGGUCCUAUGGAUUGUAAACCUCUUUUGUCAGGGAGCAAAGGGCGCCACGUGUGGCGUUUUGCGAGUACCUGAAGAAAAAGCAUCGGCUAACUCCGUGCCAGCAGCCGCGGUAAUACGGAGGAUCCGAGCGUUAUCCGGAUUUAUUGGGUUUAAAGGGAGCGUAGGUGGAUUGUUAAGUCAGUUGUGAAAGUUUGCGGCUCAACCGUAAAAUUGCAGUUGAAACUGGCAGUCUUGAGUACAGUAGAGGUGGGCGGAAUUCGUGGUGUAGCGGUGAAAUGCUUAGAUAUCACGAAGAACUCCGAUUGCGAAGGCAGCUCACUGGACUGCAACUGACACUGAUGCUCGAAAGUGUGGGUAUCAAACAGGAUUAGAUACCCCUGUAGUC